UAGGGAAUCUUCGGCAAUGGACGAAAGUCUUACCGAGCAACGCCUCGUUAGUGAAGAAGGUUUUCGGAUCGUAAAACUCUGUUGUUAGAGAAGAACAAGGACGUUAGUAACUGAACGUCCCCUGACGGUAUCUAACCAGAAAGCCACGGCUAACUACGUGCCAGCAGCCGCGGUAAUACGUAGGUGGCAAGCGUUGUCCGGAUUUAUUGGGCGUAAAGCGAGCGCAGGCGGUUUCUUAAGUCUGAUGUGAAAGCCCCCGGCUCAACCGGGGAGGGUCAUUGGAAAAUGGGAGACUAGAGUGCAGAAGAGGAGAGUGGAAUUCCAGGUGUAGCGGAGAAAUGCGUAGAUAUAUGGAGGAACACCAGUGGCGAAGGCGGCUAUAUGGUAUGUAACUGACGCUGAGGCAAGAAAGCGUGGGGAGAAAAAAGG
rnacentral:rRNA from 1 species